UGCGCAGGCGGAUUAAUAAGUCGGGGGUUAAAUCCAUGUGCUUAACACAUGCACGGCUUCCGAUACUGUUGAUCUAGAGUCUCGAAGAGGAAGGUGGAAUUUCCGGUGUAACGGUGGAAUGUGUAGACUAUCGGAAAGAACACCAGUGGCGAAGGCAGCCUUCUGGUCGAGUACUGACGCUCAUGCACGAAAGCGUGGGGAGCAAACA
rnacentral:rRNA from 1 species